rnacentral:piRNA from 1 species
UGAUGAACCGGGUUACUUGGAAGU